rnacentral:snRNA from 1 species
GUGCUCACUUUGGCAGCACAUAUACUAAAAUUGGAGUGAUACAGAAAAGAUUAGCAUGGCCCCUGUGCAAGGAUGACAUGCAAAUUCGUGAAGCAUUCCAUAUUUUU